AAGACAUACUGAAGUUUAUCUGAAGUUGCAAAGGCAAGCUGGAAUGCUGUGAUACUGGAGCACAGUAAAUGAGGACAGAAUUGAAGGACUUGGGGUCAGAGAUACAAAGUGGGAAGGAUGAAAGAAAGUGCUUAAUCACCUGCUCUUUGUCAUUGGAACUGAGAAGCUGCAGAAUAUAGUGGCUGCUGGAACUGCCUCCUCAAAGUACAAGAUAACACAACUCAUAUAACAACCUUCCCAUUGCAAUGUUAACACUGCCAGUUACAAUCCACAGUUAGAUAUAAACAAUGAUGAGAUAUAAAGGAAUAUCUGGGAAACUGUGAGAUCUCAACUUUACUUGAAGAUUCAGUUCAAUCUGUUGCAUUUUUAAAGCUAGAAACAGACCAUGAGGUAUGC
rnacentral:lncRNA from 1 species